rnacentral:lncRNA from 1 species
UGCGCUGGUUAGGUUCCCGCUCAGGCGCCCGUUGGCGCUGAGGGGUGAAUAAACGGUCAGCCCAGGCCGGGCGGGGGCGGGCAGCGGCGGGCAGCGGCACCCGAAGGGGUCCCGGGGCGGGCACGGCGGCUGGAUGUGCGUUGGGCACUGGGACGCGCCUGACCGCCGGUGCCCGGCCGCGCCAGCCCCGCUGCUUCCCCUCAGAACUUGGAGAUCCGGCUCAAAAGAGGCGGCGGCGGGCUGCUGGCGGCGCGCGGUGAGCCCCUGCCCGCAGCCGCUCACUCCCUCGGCCGCAGUCCCGAAUCAGAAAUCCCAGAAGGAAAAAAAAAAAACAAAAAACUGCAAGGAUUUGAGUUACCAAGGCAUUGAUGAAGUUCACAAAAUCUAAACAAGGAAUUACAUGAACAACCACACAAGCUAGACUGAAUACUGUACACUCCUGAAUUAAACAUAGUGAUCUAUCCUUAUGUCUGAACAAUCCGUCCAGAUUCAGAAGAAAGGUAAUGAAGAAAAAGGCUUGGAUUCUAUCAGAACAUAUCUGUAGCUGAAAACAGAUGUCAAAGGAAAAAGAGUGGAAUGACUUUAAAGGACCACCACAAUCCUGGAAAAGGUGUUCAGAGAUAAUAUCUUCUAUUUUAAUAUUUUCUAAUCUUUCUAGUAUGCAUGUGUGUGGUUCUCUCCUGGGGUGUGACAUCCUCCAAGUUUUAUGAUCUGAUCCAAUCUACACCUAUUUAUUCCUAACAUAAAUCCUGCAGAAAUAGUUUCACAAUUUUCCUUCCAGUUGUAGUUUUAGUAAUAUUUUAAAUUACCUGUCAAUAAUACUGUAUUUUUGAGCAAUAUCAAUUAGAAUGUGCUGAGUUAUCUUUCCACUGUGAUUUCUCUGCUGCUGUUUCUAUUACACUAAUUUCAUGGACUAGAGUCUUGUAGAGGUAUAAUUUGGAAUCUGUAUAAAAUGUAUUAUGCUUUCCUAUCAAGUCAUAGACUGUAGCACUGCUUGUG